GCCAGCAGCCGCGGUAACACGGCAGCUCUAGUGGUAGCUGUUUUAUUGGGCCUAAAGCGUUCGUAGCCGGUUUGAUAAGUCACUGGUGAAAUCCUGUAGCUUAACUGUGGGAAUUGCUGGUGAUACUGUUGAACUUGAGGUCGGGAGAGGUUAGCGGUAUCCCAGGGUAGAGGUGAAAUUCUGUAAUCCUGGGAGGACCACCUGUGGCGAAGGCGGCUAACUGGAACGAACCUGACGGUGAGGGACGAAAGCUAGGGGCGCGAACCGGAUUAGAUACCCGGGUAGUCCUAGCCGUAAACGAUGCGGACUUGGUGUUGGGAUGGCUUUGAGCCGCUCCGGUGCCGAAGGGAAGCUGUUAAGUCCGCCGCCUGGGAAGUACGGUCGCAAGACUGAAACUUAAAGGAAUUGGCGGGGGAGCACCACAACGCGUGGAGCCUGCGGUUUAAUUGGAUUCAACGCCGGACAUCUCACUAGGAGCGACAGCUGUAUGAUUACCAGGCUGAUGACCUUGUUUGACUAGCUGAGAAGUGGUGCAUGG
rnacentral:rRNA from 1 species